AUAUUCUCACGAUUUCAGUACAUGGCCAGAACUCCUUGGUGUUUUACUUGGGAUGGUACCUGGAUUAAAGGCAUGUUUGCAAACAUUCCCUCAAUAGUAGAUAAGGGCACUACCCGACUAGAAAAGGAGCAUGUAGUGCCAUGGUGGAAAUGUGAAAAAGUAUAUGAUUGCAGCAAUGAAGACUUAAUAAUUCAAAGAAUUCCUCAAUUAGCAGCUGCUUUGAAGUUUGGUUGUUAUUGUCGAGGUUUUUAUAAUAACCUCACCAUGACUAGCAUCUUUACACCCAGAAGAGGAUACUUUUUUAGUUGUAAGAAAUCUACCAUUCAGAGUCCAGGACAUUUAGUUUGGGCAUUAAGUGAUGGCACCUGGACAACCCACUUACCAGUAGAUGGUAAGGUGAAACAAAUUACUUUAGGCCUGCCAACAUUGUGUCUAAUUUGGAAGAAAUCACCAUUCAAGGGAUCCCUGGAAAAUUUAAAAUUACAACGAAUCAAAAGGUCUGAAAUAGAUGAUGACACCUGGAAUGAACCAUCAACAGGAGUAAAAAUUGGCUGGGCUUUAGAGUUUCUUUUGAACCCAAUAGCGUCCUAUAGGAAUAGAGAAUGGCUUUAUCACUUAACAGGACAAGUAGAAAAAUUGGCCAAUGUUACAAGAAAAGGAUUUCAAGAAUUAAACAUACAGUUACAGGCAACUUCCCGAAUGACACUUCAAAACAGGAUGGCAUUAGACAUGCUUCUGUUAAAAGAGCAUGGAGUAUGUGGAUAUCUCAAAGAUAGAUUGGAUCAUUGCUGCAUUCAUAUCCCGAAUGUUACACAGGAUGUAGAACAUGAUUUAGAUCUGUUAGACAAAAUCGGAAAAGAAACAGAAACAAUUUGAGAAGAUAUGUCAAAAGAUUGGCUAGAAAAAAUUUUUAGUGGAUUAGGAUGGAAUUUGAGCUCUUGGCUGAAAUCCUUAAUCAAAAUUCUAUUUUUGCUAUUAAUUGUCCUUCUGAUUAUUAUGUUGGUGUAUGCCUGUCUUAAAAGACAGUUUACUAAUAGGCUUGCAAUAUAUCGUAGAAUUAUGAGAGAAGUACCCACUAUGCCACCUGACUACAGCCCUCCACCACCAUCAUCUGGCAAGACAAACUUUGGCUUCAAAGAUUAAAAUGAAUAAAAGUGUGAAAGUAUUGAAAUGAUUUUCAACACUUUCAAAGGGGGGAAUUGUUACUGAUUUUAUUAUCAACUGAAAUUAAAUUGUGU
rnacentral:lncRNA from 1 species